rnacentral:rRNA from 1 species
UACGUAGGGAGCGAGCGUUAUCCGGAAUUAUUGGGUGUAAAGGGUGCGUAGGCGGUUUUAUAAGUCAGUGGUGAAAGCCCGGAGCUUAACUCCGGUAAGCCAUUGAAACUGUAGAACUUGAGUAUGGUAGAGGCAAGUGGAAUUUCUAGUGUAGCGGUAAAAUGCGUAGAUAUUAGAAGGAACACCAGUGGCGAAGGCGACUUGCUGGGCCAAGACUGACGCUGAGGCACGAAAGCGUGGGGAGCAAAUAG